CCUACGGGGGGCUGCAGUGGGGAAUCUUGGACAAUGGGGGCAACCCUGAUCCAGCCAUGCCGCGUGAUCGAUGAAGGCCUUAGGGUUGUAAAGAUCUUUCAGCUGGGAAGAUAAUGACGGUACCAGCAGAAGAAGCCCCGGCUAACUCCGUGCCAGCAGCCGCGGUAAUACGGAGGGGGCUAGCGUUGUUCGGAAUUACUGGGCGUAAAGCGCACGUAGGCGGAUUGGCAAGUUGGGGGUGAAAUCCCAGGGCUCAACCCUGGAACUGCCUCCAA
rnacentral:rRNA from 1 species